rnacentral:rRNA from 1 species
GACGUAGGUAGCAAGCGUUGUCCGGAAUAACUGGGCGUAAAGGGUGCGUAGGCGGCUUUUUAAGUCUGAUGUGAAAGCCCGUGGCUUAACCACGGAACUGCAUUAGAUACUGGGAAGCUAGAGUGCGGAAGAGGUUGACGGAAUUACUAGUGUAGCGGUAGAAUGCGUAGAUAUUAGUAAGAAGACCGGUGGCGAAGGCGGUCAACUGGGACGUAACUGACGCUGAGGCACGAAAGCGUGGGGAGCAAAC